CCUACGGGAGGCAGCAGUGGGGAAUAUUGCACAAUGGGGGAAACCCUGAUGCAGCGACGUCGCGUGAGUGAAGAAGUAUUUCGGUAUGUAAAGCCCUAUCAGCAGGGAAGAUAAUGACGGUACCUGUGUAAGAAGCCCCGGCUAACUACGUGCCAGCAGCCGCGGUAAUACGUAGGGGGCAAGCGUUAUACGGAUUUACUGGGUGUAAAGGGAGCGUAGACGGAUUGGGAAGUCUGCAGUGAAAGACCGGGGCUUAAGCGCGGGACUGCUGUGGAAACUGUGAAGCUGGAGUGGGGGAGAGGUAAGGGGAAUGCGGGGUGUAGCGGUGAAAUGCAUAGAUAUUAGGAGGAACACCGGUGGCGAAGGCGGCUUGCUGGACUGUCACUGACGUUGAGGCUCGAAAGCGUGGGGAGCGAACAGGAUUAGAUACCCUUGUAGUC
rnacentral:rRNA from 1 species